rnacentral:misc_RNA from 1 species
CCUAAAUGAGAGUCUUCCUUUAAAGAUAUAAAAAAGAACGUUAAGAACCCUCAGUUGAGACUUCUCGACAAUUCAUUGCCGAGUGUUUUAAAAUGCAAUAGUACCACCAUGUUUGCGAACUUGGAGUAAUAUGUGAGCCUGAAAAGGUGACCUCUAUUCUCCUCGGACCACGUAGACCUGUUAAGCGGGAAGUUUUUGUAUGCCGAAUUAUGGGAGACGGUGUUCAAUUGUUCGAGUAACGACGAACGAAAUAA